rnacentral:rRNA from 1 species
UACGUAGGGGCUAGCGUUGUCCGGAUUUAUUGGGUUUAAAGGGUGCGUAGGCGGCUUUGUAAGUCAGUGGUGAAAUAUGGCAGCUCAACUGUCAAGGUGCCAUUGAUACUGCAGAGCUUGAGUACAGAUGAGGUAGGCGGAAUUGACGGUGUAGCGGUGAAAUGCUUAGAUAUCGUCAAGAACACCUAUAGCGAAGGCAGCUUACUAGGCUGUAACUGACGCUGAGGCACGAAAGUGUGGGGAUCAAACAGG